UUCAUCUGGAAUCCUGUGCACUACUUCCCAAACCCCUGGGACUCCGAAGUGUGAGGAUUUAAAUCAAGACACGUGGAAGCCAUGCAAUAUAAUCACCAGGAUUGUCUUUGGUUGCCUCCUGCCCCAUCCUCCCCAGCACAUACGCAGAAGGACACACACAAGUACAGUACUGUUCUACCGUAUCCUUAAUUUUACAGAUCUCCUGCUGAAGUUUCUGACUAAUGCAGGGAGGCUCUCUGCAGUCCCGGGGUCCAGAGAACAAUUACGGUACAGUCUUGGAGAACAGAAAGAAAACGGGGGUCAUAAAUAUGUUAAAUGGCACACAUAUCUCUACGGGAAGUUAAAGUCUGUCUGAAUGUCUCAGAUGACCCAUUUUUGAACCCACGAAUGACUUCCUGUGCUUGCCACAUGAGGCAAGCCAGUGCUGGUGCUCUGAAAGUGUCCUUGAACUUGGACGGUGCUCACACCAUAAAGGCAAGAGACCAAGGAACAAACAGAGGCCACAACAGAGAUACCAGUGGACAAAGGGGCAGGGGACAGAGGAGGGGAGAGAGACAGAGACAGUGGGAAGGAGAGAGGGAGAGGGAGGGAGAGAUGGAGAGACUCAUGGCGGGGGGGAAUGGGAGAAGUAGACAGUCACAAAUAAGGCCAUAGAGAGACACCAGGAGAGGAAGAGAAGAAAGAACAAAGUAAAAACAAAAGAACAAAACAAAACUAAACAUCCAGAAA